UUCAAUGAGUUAAAUGUAUACAUAUCAGGCUCAUAACCUGAAGGUCGUAGGUUCAAAUCCUACCCCCGCAACCA
rnacentral:tRNA from 1 species